CGGCCAUCUUGGAAGAGGGCGGAAAGCCGCCUGAGCCCGGCAGGAGGGAGGGCGCUGGCUUUCCGACGGAGCACAACUUGGAGAAGCAGAAGGUGUGCAGUUCAAUGGCAUUGAGUGCGUUCACAUUGUUGCGUGAGAACUAUCACCAACAACCAUUGCUGGAACUUUUUCAUCUCAGACUGAAACUCUGUACUCAUUUAAACCGGAAUGCAGUUGGGAAGGUGGAACAGCAUCCCAGAAUCCCAGACUAAAGACCGUAUCAUAACUACUCACAGGUGGCCGCUCUUCCUUAUUCAUCUGCCCAGUCUCUUGGUUGGUUGGUUGGUUGGUUGGUUGGUUGGUUGGUUUGGCCCAGAGAUUCCCCACAUAAAUAAACUGCCUUGAAAUACACCAGCAAUAAAUUCAAGAGAUCAAAACGUCAUUUUAGCAGCAGAGGGCGCUCUCAUCUCUCUCUCUGGAGGCGAUCAUAGCUUUAUUUCAGUGUUGUAGUUACGUGACUGCCUGUGCCUGAGUUAUCUGGGGUGCUUAUUUAGAAUGCAGGCUCAUGAACCCCAACCCCAGAGACUUUGAUGCAGAACAUUUGGGUGGGACUGGAAGUACGUAUGUUAAGUUAGCUCCUCUGCUGAUUCUAAGGCAGCCAGGGGCAAGCACCAUUGAUCUGGUCUAUGUCAAGUUUUCUGGAGAUCCUUGGAGCUGUCCGUGGUGCCAAGGAGAAUGCCUCAACACUCCCCAAUCUCUCUCCACCAACCUACUCCCUCUACCAAAUCCUGUCUCUCCUCCUGGCAUCCCUGGUCUCAUCCAGGGGUACCGCCUUUAUUCAGUCAUUCAUGCAUGAAAGUUGGAGAGACUUAACUUAUUCCUCUCCCCGGCCUCCUAAAACCAUUCCAUCUCCAAGUCUUAUACGUUUUACACUGAAAUGUCUCUCUCAUCUUUUCUCUUUUAUCUAUCCUUAUUGUCAUUGUCCCAAUUCAGGCCUUUAGCGUGGACCAUUGCACCGGCCUCCUCAUGGGUCACCCUUCAUCAGACCCCACUCAGAUGUCUCCAUCUUGGAUAAGCUUUCUUCAGUGCCCACAAGCAAGAAAUAGUUACUCUCUCCACUCUUCUACUGACAUACAUGAUAACCCUCUACCCUGGUCUGUCUGUCACACUGUAGAGAAAUCUUAGCCUCCUCCGUUAGUCUGGGAAGGAACAUGUCUGGUCUGAUUCAUCUCUGUAUGCCAUUUGCAGGGGCUAGAACAAAGAGGUCCUCAGAAAGUAGUGUGAAUGAAUAUUUUUUUAUUUUAUUUACUUUUGAGAUGGGGGGGUGUGGAAGAGAGAGGGAGGGAGAGAGAAUCCCAGGCAGGCUCCAUGAGAUCAUAACCUGAGCCGAAAUCAAGAGUCAGAUGCUUAACUGAGUGAGCCACCCAGGCGCCCUGGAAUGCAUAAUUUAAUAGUUGUUUUCCACUUCAUUUGCCAAAUCUGGAAAGGCCAUUCCGUGCAGAGAUAUUCGUGUGCAUUUGGCUUUGAAUCUCAAAGAUCUUCUGCCUAAGGGACUUUGGGCAUGCCCUCCCUUCUGCCUAGAACACUCUCUAGAACUCUGCCUAUCUCUCCUUCAAGAUUUAGUGUAAAUGAUACAUCUACAGAGAUACCUCUGAUUUCUCUGUCUAAAUCAGAUCUCUUCAGAUGAAAGAACAAUACAGGAGAGAAAAACAAGAAGAAUCACAAGGCAGUAUACAAUUGAGUGCCAAAUAAGGCAAGGAGUGAAAAAAUUGUUUAGGAGUUCAAGGAAUGGAGAAGUUACUGUGAAUUAGGAGGCUAGAUAAGACUUCCUAUAAGAGAUGGAAUAUAAACUUUGAGUCUUCAAGAUGGUGUAAGAAUGAGAUAGAUAGAAAGUAGGUGGGGUGGGGAGCCUGGGUGGCUCAGUCAGUUAAGCAUCCAACUCUUGAUUUCAGCUCAGGUUGUGAUCUCACUGUUGUGGGCUCGAGCCCCACACUUAGUCAGUUAGGCAUCCAACUCGAUUUUGGCUCACGUUGUGAUCUCAUGGUUCAUGAGUUUGAGCCUCAUGUCAGGUUCUGCACUGCGCGGAGCCUGCUUGGAUUCUGUCUCUCUCCCUCUCUCUCUGCUCCUCCCCCGCUCACGUGAGCAUGUACUCUCUCUCUCUUUCAAAAUAAAUAAACUGUUUUUAACAAAUUAAAAAAAAAAAGAAAAGAAAGUAGGUAGGGUGGUCAUUCCAGAGGCUGCGGGCAGGACUAAAAUGUGCAGUCAUGCAGGUGGCCCAGGAGGCCUCAAAGUUGGAGGAAUCCAACUUGUACUCUGCCCACCAAGCUCCAGCCAUUGAGGCUUUGUCCACUAGAAGGGAACACCUUCUCCAAUUGGUUCAAGGGCUCCCAGGGCUAGUGGAGGUCCCGUACUGAGGGGACAGUGAGGAAAAGGCACUGUACAAGUAGACUUAAGAAGGGGAUAAUCAUGUCUCUUUGGGGGGCAGGGAGCAGACCACACUGGUUGAAACACAAGCCUUAGAGGAAGGGAGAACAGACAAUGAGGCCCAUUUGAGCUCAUUGUCAGGCCUUUGACCACCUUGGUAAACUUUGACUCCUCCAGAAACUGUGUUAGUGGAAAGUCCAACCCCAAAUGGGACUCCUCAAAGAGAAGCUUCAGUUACAGCUGCUGAGGAGCAAACAGCAGGGCCUGGAAGAAUACAGAGACAAAUGAGGACAGCUGUGGUGCGGGAGGCACGAGAUCUUGGUUGGAAUUUGCCUCUCCAUUUGGACCAACUAUAUCAGCCUCGGGGUCUUCAUAUCCUUAGACCCAGAAGUCCAUCCCACUUCCAGAGGUUUCCACUGUGAAUCAGAAAGGCAGACUAAGCUUUCCAUGGUGAUAUGUUACCAGGAAAAACCCUCUCUGCCCCCGGCACUGUGCUGCGUAUUUUAUAUAUGCCUUGCCAUCUACAUACAGCAGCCCUGGGAUAGGUCCCAUCAGAAAUCCCAUUUUACAGAUCAAGAAAGAAAUUGUUACGCAGAGAAGGCACUUGCCCACGUCACGCAGCUAGUAAGGGGUUCUAGCUCAGCAUGGUCUGACACUGGCACCCGGCUCCCAACACCCACGCUAACUCCCACACCAGGACUUUGUGCACAAAAAUACUCAACAUAUGGAAAGGAAGGAAAAAAAAAAUAGAGAAACCAAAAACCAAACCCUUAACUAUAGAGAACAAGCAGAUGGUUACCAGAGGGGUAGUGGGUGGGGGGUGGAGGAAAGAGGUGAAAGGGAUUAAAAAGUACAAUGAUGAUGCGCAGAGUCAUGUAGAGAAUUAUUGAAUCACUAUAUUAUACACCUGGAACUAAUAUAAUGCUGUAUGUUCAUGAUACUGGAAUUAAAAUUUUUAAAAAAUUAAUAAAAGCUAAAAAAAAUACUCAACAAGUGUUUACACGUAACUGAACCCAUAUGUAUGUCUAUGUAUUUGUAUAUAAAUAUAUAUACACGCUAAUCCUCAGCCAUGUGAAAAUUGUAUGCAGAGAAAAACACGAAGCAAGUAUGCCAAUAUAGUAAUAGUGUUUAUCCUGGGUGGCGGAAUUAGGAGGACUUCGUUUCUUCUUUAUUUUUUUCUAUAUUUUCCAAAUUUUCUGCAAUGAACAUGCAUUGUUCUGAUAACUGGAAAACAUAUAAUUUUUAAAUAAAAUAAACAUUCUUUGAUUGUUCUAUCA